rnacentral:rRNA from 1 species
UGCAAGUCGAGCGGAACGACUUAACUGAACCUUCGGGGGACGUUAAGGGCGUCGAGCGGCGGACGGGUGAGUAAUGCCUGGGAAAUUGCCCUGAUGUGGGGGAUAACCAUUGGAAACGAUGGCUAAUACCGCAUAAUAGCUUCGGCUCAAAGAGGGGGACCUUCGGGCCUCUCGCGUCAGGAUAUGCCCAGGUGGGAUUAGCUAGUUGGUGAGGUAAGGGCUCACCAAGGCGACGAUCCCUAGCUGGUCUGAGAGGAUGAUCAGCCACACUGGAACUGAGACACGGUCCAGACUCCUACGGGAGGCAGCAGUGGGGAAUAUUGCACAAUGGGCGCAAGCCUGAUGCAGCCAUGCCGCGUGUAUGAAGAAGGCCUUCGGGUUGUAAAGUACUUUCAGCAGUGAGGAAGGUGGUGUCGUUAAUAGCGGCAUCACUUGACGUUAGCUGCAGAAGAAGCACCGGCUAACUCCGUGCCAGCAGCCGCGGUAAUACGGAGGGUGCGAGCGUUAAUCGGAAUUACUGGGCGUAAAGCGCAUGCAGGUGGUUCGUUAAGUCAGAUGUGAAAGCCCGGGGCUCAGCCUCGGAAUAGCAUUUGAAACUGGCGGACUAGAGUACUGUAGAGGGGGGUAGAAUUUCAGGUGUAGCGGUGAAAUGCGUAGAGAUCUGAAGGAAUACCGGUC